ACGCUCGACACCUACGGGAGGCAGCAGUGGGGAAUAUUGCACAAUGGGGGAAACCCUGAUGCAGCGACGCCGCGUGAGUGAAGAAGUAUUUCGGUAUGUAAAGCUCUAUCAGCAGGGAAGAAGAUGACGGUACCUGAGUAAGAAGCCCCGGCUAACUACGUGCCGGCAGCCGCGGUAAUCUGAGCGGGCUGGCAAGGC
rnacentral:rRNA from 1 species